rfam:Aquimixticola soesokkakensis strain CECT 8620 genome assembly, contig: 0005
CCCCUUGAAGCCGUCGGCAUUUGCGCCUAAGUAGGGCCUGUCGGGCUUGCUCGACUAUGGACAUAAACGCGCUCGUAAUACGCGGAUCGGACCCGGGGGCGGUACCCGGCGUCUCCACCAUAACACCGCUGCAUCCGGCCUUCAUUUGAGGCGGUUGUGGUUUGGAUCAUGGGGACGAAAUAGGAUCGACGGACGUCUAAAGGGGUUUGCUUUGUUUCGGUGAGUUACCACCGUUAUCGGUACACUUAAGCUAGUUGCAAAUGACAACAAAGCUCCGAUGGCUCUCGCAGCGUAAGCUGUGCGAAAUAUCGAAACCUAAGUCCUUGGGUUUAGCGACCUAAGGCGGGGUUCGCAGGUACCUGGCAACAGAAACCUGCACU